rnacentral:rRNA from 1 species
GAACGAUGACGAAACAGCUUGCUGUUUCUGAUUAGUGGCGGACGGGUGAGUAAUGUAUAGGGAUCUGCCUGACAGUGGGGGACAACAGCCGGAAACGGCUGCUAAUACCGCAUACGCUCUACGGAGGAAAGUGGGGGACCUUUCGGGGCCUCACGCUGACAGAUGAACCUAUAUCAGAUUAGCUAGUUGGUGGGGUAAUGGCUUACCAAGGCGACGAUCUGUAGCUGGUCUGAGAGGAUGAUCAGCCACACUGGGACUGAGACACGGCCCAGACUCCUACGGGAGGCAGCAGUGGGGAAUAUUGGACAAUGGGGGCAACCCUGAUCCAGCAAUGCCGCGUGUGUGAAGAAGGCCUUCGGGUUGUAAAGCACUUUCAAUAGGGAGGAAAAGCUAUGCGUUAAUAGCGUAUAGCCGUGACG